GACGUAGGGCGCAAGCGUUGUCCGGAUUUAUUGGGCGUAAAGAGCUCGUAGGCGGCCUGUCGCGUCGACCGUGAAAACCCGCAGCUCAACUGUGGGCGUGCGGGCGAUACGGGCAGACUUGAGUACUGCAGGGGAGACUGGAAUUCCUGGUGUAGCGGUGGAAUGCGCAGAUAUCAGGAGGAACACCUGUGGUGUAGACAGCUUACUGGACCAUUUCUGACGCUGAGACACGAAAGCGUGGGUAGCAAACAGG
rnacentral:rRNA from 1 species